UUUAGAGUUAAUCAAUAACAGAGAAUCAAAAUGCAUAUAUAAGGCACCAAUAAAAGCUUUAGAUUUAGAUUGAAGAGUUUACUCACUUGGUAAAGACUAACUUUUGACUAACAAAGAAAAAUGUAAUGGUUUUAAAUUAGCAACUUAGGACCUUCUUCACUUCCUGCUUAUCGUUUGUAAUAUUUGAUUUAACUUUUUUUGUUAGAAGCC
rnacentral:lncRNA from 1 species